AACGGUCUAUACCUGCGGUACCUGCGGAAGGAUCAUUAAUGAGAAACUGCCCCUCGCGGGUAGAUCUCCCACCCUUUGUAAACUUACCUUUGUUGCUUUGGCAGGCCCGUCUCCGGACCGCCGGCUUCGGCUGGCCAGUGCCUGCCAGAGGAUUCUAAAACUCUGUCUGUCAGUGUUGUCUGAGUCUAUAUACAACCGUUAAAACUUUCAGCAAUGGAUCUCUAGAUCGGAAGAGCACAC
rnacentral:misc_RNA from 1 species